UGGGGAAUUUUGGACAAUGGGCGAAAGCCUGAUCCAGCCAUGCCGCGUGCAGGAUGAAGGCCUUCGGGUUGUAAACUGCUUUUGUACGGAACGAAAAGGUUUGGCCUAAUAGGCUGAGCUCAUGACGGUACCGUAAGAAUAAGCACCGGCUAACUACGUGCCAGCAGCCGCGGUAAUACGUAGGGUGCGAGCGUUAAUCGGAAUUACUGGGCGUAAAGCGUGCGCAGGCGGUUAUGUAAGACAGAUGUGAAAUCCCCGGGCUCAACCUGGGAACUGCAUUCAAAACUGACUGACUAGAGUAUGGUAGAGGGUGAUGGAAUUCCGCGUGUAGCAGUGAAAUGCGUAGAUAUGCGGAGGAACACCGAUGGCGAAGGCAAUCCCCUGGGCCUGCACUGACGCUCAUGCACGAAAGCGUGGGGAGCAAACA
rnacentral:rRNA from 1 species